UUUUCGUAGGUAAACCUGCGGAAGGAUCAUUGUCGUGACCCUGACCAAAACAGACCGCGCACGCGUCAUCCAAUCCGCCGGCGACGGCACCGUCCGUCGCUCGGCCAAGUCCUCGACUACCUCCCCUCCUCAGAGUUGGUAGGGCUUGGGGUCAAAGAACCCACGGCGCCGAAGGCGUUAAGGAACACUGUGCCUAACCCGGGGGCAUGGCUAGCUUGCUAGCCAUCCCCCGUGUUGCAAAGCUAUUUAAUCCACAUGACUCUCGGCAACGGAUAUCUCGGCUCUC
rnacentral:misc_RNA from 1 species